UACGUAGGUGGCAAGCGUUGUCCGGAUUUACUGGGUGUAAAGGGCGUGCAGCCGGGCUGACAAGUCAGAUGUGAAAUCCCGCGGCUCAACCGCGGAACUGCAUUUGAAACUGUCAGUCUUGAGUACCGGAGAGGUCAUCGGAAUUCCUUGUGUAGCGGUGAAAUGCGUAGAUAUAGGGAAGAACACCAGUGGCGAAGGCGGAUGACUGGACGGCAACUGACGGUGAGGCGCGAAAGCGUGGGGAGCAAACAGG
rnacentral:rRNA from 1 species